GGGUUAUGUUUACAGGUGGUACUGUAGUGAAUCUGCAAAAUUUAAAAAUAGGGUUCGAUUCCCUCGUAGCCCU
rnacentral:tRNA from 1 species